GACGAACGCUGGCGGCGUGCCUAACACAUGCAAGUCGAACGGAGUUGUUCCUUCGGGGACAGCUUAGUGGCGAACGGGUGAGUAACGCGUGAGGAACCUGCCUCUCAGUGGGGGACAACAGUUGGAACGACUGCUAAUACCGCAUAAUGUUUUCGGUACCGCAUGAUCUGAAAACCAAAGCUUUAUGUGCUGAGAGAUGGCCUCGCGUCUGAUUAGCUAGUUGGUGGGGUAACGGCCCACCAAGGCGACGAUCAGUAGCCGGUCUGAGAGGAUGAACGGCCACAUUGGGACUGAGAUACGGCCCAGACUCCUACGGGAGGCAGCAGUGGGGAAUAUUGGGCAAUGGGGGAAACCCGUGACCCAGCAACGCCGCGUGAAGGAAGAAGGCCUUCGGGUU
rnacentral:rRNA from 1 species